GCUUUCUUAGCUCAGUUGGUAGAGCGCGGCACUAGUAUAGCCAUGCCGAGGUCAACGGUUCAACUCCGUUAGAAAGCA
rfam:Rachicladosporium antarcticum strain CCFEE 5527 scaffold_9, whole genome shotgun sequence.